AAAGUACUCCCUCCGUUCGGAAUUACUUGUCACAAAAAUGAAUAAAAAUGGAUGUAUCUACAACUAAAAUACAUCUAGAUACAUUCAUUUCUUGGACGAGUAAUUCCGAAUGGAGGGAGUACUCC
rnacentral:pre_miRNA from 1 species